rnacentral:rRNA from 1 species
UACGUAGGUGGCAAGCGUUGUCCGGAUUUACUGGGCGUAAAGAGCGCGCAGGCGGUCGUUCAAGUCGCGUGUGAAAGCCCCCGGCUCAACUGGGGAGGGUCACGCGAUACUGAUCGACUCGAAGGCGGAGAGGGAAGUGGAAUUCCCGGUGUAGUGGUGAAAUGCGUAGAUAUCGGGAGGAACACCAGUGGCGAAGGCGACUUCCUGGCCUGUUCUUGACGCUGAGGCGCGAAAGCUAGGGGAGCAAAC